rnacentral:rRNA from 1 species
UACGUAGGGGGCAAGCGUUGUCCGGAAUCAUUGGGCGUAAAGAGCGUGUAGGCGGCCCGGUAAGUCCGCUGUGAAAGUCCAGGGCUCAACCCUGGGAUGCCGGUGGAUACUGUCGGGCUCGAGUCCGGAAGAGGAGUGUGGAAUUCCUGGUGUAGCGGUGAAAUGCGCAGAUAUCAGGAGGAACACCGGUGGCGAAGGCGGGUCUCUGGGCCGAUACUGACGCUGAGGAGCGAAAGCGUGGGGAGCAAACAGG